UUCUUCAUAAGUUCUUUAUUAAAACUUAACAACGCUCACCGAGUUCCACUCUUCAACAAGACAAUGAAACUGUUCCUGAUCGUCCUCCUAGUGGCCUGUGUGGCAUUCGCCGUCGCCAUGCCCGAGCCUGAGCCACAAUUUCGCGGAUUUGGUUUCAGACAAGGAUUUGAAGAUUUCGGACAAUGGAUAAGGAAUAUUUUCCGUCCAAGGACCGUUUGAAAGUCUCUCAGAUUUUAAUUGAUAAGCAAUGAAGUGAUAUGUAGACUCUGCUCUCUUUAAAGAAAAAUAUCAAUACAAGUUUAAGAUUUGGGAAUGAUUUUUUAUGUCCCUUAAUAAAAUAUUUCAUCCAGACUAUCAAUAUCGAACAAAUAAUGCGCCAGUUUCCGUUCUAAAAUGAAAAUAACAGAGGCAUUAUGGUGAUAAGUGUAAGUUAGUGCGAUCGCAAGUUAGAUUUCAAUGGAAGGAGAUGUGAUCACGAGCCCGCUUUGUCUCUAUGAAUUGUAAGGUGGUUCUCGAUGUUGUGGAUGGGAUUUCCUUUAAAUAAUUUUUUAAUAAUUUGUUUCCCUGUAUAUUUAAUCGAAACCUGACUGAAGUAAAUAUUUCGACUUCGUU